CGAAAACCCACGAAUCACAAGCUAAGAAAAAGAAAUACUACAUAGCUCUAACUUCGGAAUUUGUUUAAUAAGAAUAUAAAGUACAGAAGGGCUAAAUACUAAAAGGCAAGAAUAGAAAGGGACUCCUCGGUCUGCGGACGCGAUAGAUGUACCUCGAAGUCUCUAAGAAGUCGCCUCCCUCAAGGAUGGUAGACCUGAGUAGAAGUACCUGUAUCUGCACAUGAAAAACAUGCACAGAAGAGACAUGAGUACACCACAACGGUACUCAGUAAGUGCCAAGCCUAACCUCGGUUGGGUAGUGACGAGGAAGGUUAGGGCCCUACUAAGGUUAAAUACAAUAUAAGGGUUAAAAAUGUGGAAUGAAACAAUAUAAAUAAGUGCAAAAAUAAGAAAUAACAUAGAAUUAACAGAACAACAACUAGAACAGAGACAAAACAAACCACGGAAAUGAAAUACAGCUCAACACAGAGACAACAACCUGGGCACCUUCCGGGAUACCGUCUCGUAGUCCAUCAUAUAUAUGUCCGAAGGAUCUCCCGGAAUGCCAUCCCGUAGUCUAACUAUCAAUGUGCGGGGAUCUACCAGAAUCCCUAUCUGUAGUCCCAAAUAUAAAUACCCAGUACUGGGGGAAUCUACCGGGUGCAUUUCCGUAGUUCCAUAUAACUGUGCAGGGGGAUCUACCGGGAAUCUAACUCAUAGUCCCAAAGUAAAUGUGCAGGGGGAUCUAUCGACAAUCUAACCCGUAGUCCCAAAGUAAACAUACAAGGGGGAACUACCAGAAUCCCACAUCCGUAAUCCCAAAAUAAAUACAGAGAAGCAGCAGGAAGAUAAAAAGAAAUGACAAAAUUUCAUAUUAAGGAAAUAAGUGAUUCUAGCCUAGCAUGCUGCACAGAAUUCAAGUAAGGCAGGUUGAAUCAAAUAAAGCAAUUAAGUUACUUAGACAUGCUUUUCUAAGCUAACAAUAGGCUUAAUAGUGCAAGAAAUAGAAACAUGAAAGGAAAUAUACUAGCAUUUACUUAAAGAAAACCGGAUUUCUAACAAUUAGCACAAGUACGCACUCGUCACCUCACGUACAAGGUAUUUCAAUUACCAAAUAUAUCAAUCCUAAGGGGAAGGUCCCCUACACGAGGUUAGACAAGCCACUUACCUCGAACAAGUGCAAUUCAACCCGAAAUCACACUUUUGCCACGAGUAUCCGACUCCAAAUGGCCCAAAUCUAGUCAAUUCAAUUGCAUAUUGUAAAUAACACCUCAAGUAACUGAUUCCACAAUUAAUUGUUGUUAGAGUAUUUUCAUGUGAUGUGUGAUAUUAUUAUGUUUUAGUUACUUGAUGUUUAUUAGCUUUAUUUUUUUAUAGAUAUAAUAUGUUUUAUGUUAGUGGCGAUAUCCUUGAUUUUCUUUGUACCACGGUUCUUUUCCAAGGAUGCCAAUUUUCUUUUUGAACUGGGUAAUUAUUAGUAAAUUUUUUUCGACUUUUCCCGAUGAUGGAUAGAUAGACAACUUUCUUAAGGGAAUUACUCUUGUAGUUUAGAUAGAGNNNNNNNNNNNNNNNNNNAACCUCUUUGAGUCAUUGGUUUCAAUUGGAUUUUGGAUUUGUAUUCCACUUGAGUGUUCAUGUGACAUGUGUGGUGAGUUUUAUUGUGAGUUCUUUUACAUUACUUGUAGUCUAGAACUUGCCCGGAAUGUGCUUCAAGGCGAAAUCAUAGACUAACUUGGUUUGAAAAAUAAUAUUAGGUCUUCCUUGGACUGCCAUUGUGCCUUAAAUUUCCUUCACUUGAAUAUUUUCCCUAGUCAACCCAUUUUGAUCCUUUAACCUUUUUCCUUGGUAACCAUGUUACAAGCUUUAAUCAUUUAUGAUCUAGCUUUUGGCACUCUAUCCCCUAAGUACUUUGAAAGUGUAAACAUAGGCUAAAAGCCUAUGUUUGGGGGUGAAGGUUGGAAAAGUUGUGAUAUGGAAGUUGUUUAAAAGGUGUAAGGUAGAAAACAAAAUGAUAAAAAGUAAAACCUUCCUUGAUUUUGAAAAGGAAGGAAGGAAAAAAUGAAAUAAAAUGAUAAGAAGUUGUGAAUAAAGAGAAAAUUAGGUAUGGAAUGAAAAGUGAAGAAAGGAUGGGGAAUGUUUUUGAAGGAAGUGGACUUUGAUUGUAAAUUUUGUAGUGCUUGGGAAGGUUUUGAGUCACUCUAACCAAAAUUGUGCCCUACCUUAACCAAAAGCCCAAACUGCAACCCUUUAAGUCCUAAUUGAUUUUGAACCAAGUUGUCUAUAUUAGUGGAGAAAUACAUGAAGGGCAAGCUUAUGGUACUACUUGUAUGCAUUUGAACAUCUUUGUGAGAGAGAGUUAAUUUUUUCCAUUUGAUAUCCCAUUUUUAUUUUGAAUUAAGAUUUAUGAGUGUGGGAUUCUCUCUUAAAUGUGAGGGCACAUGGGAUUUGAGUUGUGAAUUUAAUCCCAUUUUCAAUUGUAAGGAAUGACCAAAGAGAGAUAACUGUGAUAGAGAGGCAAAUUUUGAAGCUUUAGUGUCAUGACUUCAUUUGCUACUUUGAUUUGCAAAGUGCUUGAGCACUUGAAAUGUAAUGAAGUUCAUGAAAAGUGUUCGGCAAUUCAUAUGCGUUGGUUUAAUUGUUGCUACCAAUCGAAGUCAUGCGUUUAUGCUUAUAGUAGACCUUUUUGGCUUGGCAUGAUAAGGAUGCGAUGUUGAGUUAAAUACUUGGGAAGUGGUUUUGUCGCUUUCAUUGCUUGAGGACAAGCAAUAGUUUAAUUUUGGGGGUUUGAUAAGUUGGUAUUUUACCAACUUAUCUUGUCUUUAAGCCUAUAAUUUUGCUAUGUUUGAGUGAUAAAAUCACGUGUUUAAUGCAUUUACUUCUAUAUUACAGGUUCUAUGUGAUUUAGAAGUGAUGUUGAAGAAACCAAGUGAAACAAGUCAAAAAGAAGCUAAAAGAGGAAAAUCUAGGCAAUGCCCUCAGUGGUCGCAAUUGCGACAUAAGCCUGGGAAUUGCGAAGCCAGCAGUCAUGGGAAUUCCGAGUAAUGCAUGGGAAUUGCGAAGAAAGAUCAUUUAGGCAGUCUUCGCAAAUGCGAAGAAGACCUUGCAAAUGCAAAGUCAACCCAAGCAGUCAACCUUCGCAAAUGCGAAGCAUUUAUCGCAAAUGCGAAGUGGAGCAGUAUAGGCAUAGUUCGCAAAUGAGAAAAUCGAGUAUCAGUCUUGGGCAAUUCUGGAAUUUCAUAUUUUUUUCCCCAAACCAUUUAAUACCCGACUUAGCUCAUUUGUAAAUUAUCUUUGGCUUAUUUUCAGUUCCAAGAGACUAGAGAGAACAAGUUUUGGAAGCUAGGGUUUGCACACACACUUUGGUCUUGAAGAUUUGAGGCUUGUGGUUAAGAAUUUCUUACCCAUUUAUGUUUAUUUCUUUAUUUCCUUGCUUUGUAUUGUAUAUCUAAGUGUGUAGUAUUUUAUUCAACACUUGAAUCUUGUUUAUGAAAAUAUUCAUGUUUAAAGUGUGGAUUAAAAACCUUGUUGUGCUUAUGUAUUGAAUGAUUUUUAUUCUUUUAUGAAGUGAGUUAUUGUUACUUUAAUUAUUCUUGUUCUUUAAUGUUUCCAAAGGGAUUAGCUAACCCUAGGACUCGUCCAUUAUCUCCGAAUUAAUUUUGGGAAAGAUUAUUUGGAGUUGAGAAAGAUUAAUUAACAAGAACUUGAGGUUUUAACCCUCAUUUUAUAGAUUUACCUAGGGAUAGGAUUGAACUACUUAUACCCAUAUCUGGGUGUGCUUAAUCUCUUAAUUGUUUUAGGGAUAAUUCAAUUAAGAAGUCUUAUUAGUCUUUGGAAGAAGCUAAUAUAGAAUUAUUACCCGUGGCUAAUUAACAUAAACUCGCUCAUAUUUGUAAAAUCGUGAAAUACAUUGGAUCGUUACUUGAGUGUCAUUCCCGAUGCAUCCAUCCUUGUAGCCAUUGAUCAAUUUACUUUCUUUCUAGGUUAGUUUACAUUUCCGCAUUUAGGUAUAAAUAUUUUCUAAAACCAAUUCUAAAUGUUUAGCAUUGCAUAACAAGUAAUAAUUCUCUUACAUUCCUAAUUGCUUACAUAUUGUUCUCUGUGGGAUUCAACCCCGGCUCAUAGUUGGGUAUAUUAUAUUGCAUGCGACCGUGCCCAUUUACUUUUUAAUAGUGGAUUUGGACGUCAUCAAUAUUGAAAAUUUGAUACGCUUAAAUUAUACUUUAAUUAAAUAGUGUUAGGCGGUCGGUGUCAAAUAUAAUAAUCCAACAAGGUUGGGAUCGAAUCCCACAGGGAAUAGGCGUGAAAAGGUUACUCGAGUAGUGUGCUACUUGACUUAGGUUGUAAUUCUAUUCCGUUAAUUGUAACAAGAGAAUGAUAUGAUUGUAAUUUGAAUAGAUAACUAAUUAUAACGUUGGGAAUGUAAAUAAUUUGAUUAAGGAAACCAAGGUUGUGUCCCCUUCAAUGAAAUCUAAUGCUAUCGGUGUUAAUAUGAUAUAUUUCUAAUAGAAGAUUCUUUGAUAUGCAAAUGAUUUCUAAAUGACUACCUAAUACUUUCCAAUAGUUGAGUAGUAUUUUCCUUUAUGUUUUUUUUCAAAUAUAAAAGAGUUGCAAAUUAAGAACAAUUAAUUUAUGCCAUGUAGAACCCACUUAUUCCUAAGUGAUUCUAUUAAACAAGAGUUAACCUCUUGAGUUCUUGAUAUUCAAUUCUACCAAACCCUAACUCACUUUUCCAAGUAAAGAAAGAGUAAAAUGAAAUAGAUUAAUGUUUACAACCACCAACCAUAAAUAAAGAAUAAGGAUUGAAUAAAUAUCAACCAACCAUUAUAUAUAUAUAUAUAUUCAAUAUUAAACAUUCAUUAACAUAACACUCAUCUAGGGUCCACAACCUUAGUAUUUAAAGCUAGCUACUCAUGCUAAAAUACAAAAAAGAUGAGAAUAUUAAAUGCCAUAAAGCUUAGAAAGUGCAAGAUUCUUCACUCCUAAAGCUUCCAAAAGAGAGGAAUAUUCAAAGAUUGUAGCUCAAAAACCAGACUAGUUAUCCCUACAAAACCCCAAUAAAUCUUUUUAUAGUGGGCAAAAACUCGGUAGCAAUUUUGGACAAAAUGCCCCUCCAGGUUAAUUAUGCGACCACAUUUCUAUCGCAAAACAAACAUGCGGUCCGCAUUCUCGUCAAAACCAUUGCAUCUUAGAAACAUUAAUUCCCAGGUAGUCGUCGCAUUUUGGUUAUGCAAUCCACAUUGUUGAUUUGCGACCGCAUAAUGUCACCCGCAUUUUAGAUUUCAACAACUUCUACAGGGGGUUUGCGAUCCAUUAUGCGGCCUGCAAACCUGUUAUGGGCUCGCAUAAUGGAUCGCAUUUCUUGCGCUUGAAUUUGGCCAAACAGACUGUUGGACUUUGAUGUUCCUAUGAGCAAUAUGCGAUCCGCAUGUUGGAUUUGCGGUCCGCAUAUUCACAUCUGCGAUCGCAUUUUGCCUUUUUCUUGUCCUUUUGCGGCUUUUUGAUUUCAUUUCCAUGUUCUUGGGUCCUUAAGCCUCAUACACUACAAAACAUUAAAAUUACAUAAGUAUAAAAAAUAAUUGCAUUUAAAACGAGCUAAAAUCUAAGAAAUUGGUAUUAAAUGUGCCGAAAAUCUCAGGCACAUCAACACUCCCAACUUAAACUCUUGCUUGUCCUCAAGCAAAUAAAACGACACUAUCCUAUUCUAGACUCCAGCUAAACGAUAUGAAACAAUAGUGAUCGUGGACGGUGUUAGUUGUCAGUACUACAAGCAUGCACUUUCUUUUAUUUACCCUUCCCGGACAAUCAUUGUUAUUUACAAAGAAACUAAUCAACUUGUGAACCUUGAGCCUCGACCAAUUUGACAAAAUGUUACUCUCAGCUAGUGCACUUGCAUUCUACUUCAAGAACUCAACUUCUGUCCAACCUCACAAUUCAUGUGCCAUCACUAGAAAGAAAUUCCCAAACUCACAAUAUUUACAUUGACACAAAAGAGACGGAUUCACAAAGACACUCACUCUCAUAAAGAGUUUCAAGUGGUACAACAUGCCAUACCAUAGGAUUGACCUUAUUUUAAUUCAUCGCUUUAUUAUAAGAACGUUCGGUUGGAGAUCCCAUAAGGACUUUUUAAGCUUGUAAUGUAGGUUUAGGGAAGGGCCGGAUAAACAUUUGGGUACAAGUGACUACACCCUCCUUGAACACUACUCACAUUUUUCUUUCUUGUUGUUCUUUGCUUCUUUUCAAACCACAUAGCCCUCAUUGGCCCCUAAUUUCCAACAUUGAACCACCUUAAAUACCUCUAUAAUUUUCUUCAAGGGCCGAAUACAUAUGUGGCCCCUUAAACUUGUCCAUUUUUUUCAUUCAAAUACCUAAACUAAAGGUUGUUCCUAUUGAGCCCCUUAACUCCAAGCAAUGUGCUCUAUUAAACAUAAAAAGCUGACAUGGCACAAACAGUGAGAUUCAUUUACUUUGGGCGUGUGAUAAUGUUAAAAUCCAACUGACAUAGAUUUAACAGAAAAACUACCCAAAAUACAUACUUUAAUUCUGAAAAAAAGUAUGAGCUUCGAGAUGCUUCAUCUUGUCAGACGGCAAGGUAAGUUUCUAGAAAACGUGAGAAACUAUAAUCACAGGUGGAAUUCUCAAUUAAUUAUAUACCUGAUUAUGAAAAUUAGUUGUCCCUAUGGAUUCUAGUGACUAAAAACCCAACUAAUGAUCAUAUGUUUGUUCUUUUAUCUUUGGCUUGUCGUUGCCAGAAUUAGGUGUUUAACGAAUUGCUAAAGAUUUUCUCUCUCUCUCUCUAUNNNNNNNNNNNNNNNNNNNNNNNNNGGCUUUUAGCGUCAUUCUCAAUGUUCAAGGAGGGGGGUUCAAAAGAGGGGAAUAUUUUACAAAAAGGGGAAAGGUUUGUAAUGAGGUGACCAAAGAAAAGGUUAAAGGCUCAAAUGGGGUAACUAGUGAUAAUAUCUAUACAAUGGGUAGCUUGAAAGGUUAACUGGGUUUUCCAAUAUCACAAAGAUUGCCAGGUCAUUUCUCUAACCAAAUGUAACUAUCAUUAGCAUCGAAAGACCAACCGAACAAGUUCUAGAUGACAGAAGUAAACACAAGAAUUAUUUAUACAAAGACUCACACACAUGGCACACGAACUGUUUGACUCAACAUAGUUUUAGCCCUCGAGUAAAAACUUGGCAAAUUUGAAGCUUUCAUCAUAUUUACAUGUAUAGUUCUAGGUAAAUAUAGAGUCAAAGAGUGAGCUUCAAGUUCACACAGUUGAUUUUCUAUACAACACAAAUUAUUUUUUAUAUUAAUUGAAGGGUAUAGGCUAUUUACAGGCAUACAUGCUUGAAACUAGACAAUUACACUAAACCGGUCAAAAUGUUUCAUCCUACUACCAUGGUUCUACUAUUACACCCUUGGAAAAGAACCCGACGAAGAAAAACCAAGGGGAAUUCAUUGCUAAUUACUAAAGAUAAACAUGCAUCUAACUAUCUACUUGUUUUUGGUUUUUAUUUUUAUUUUUAUUUUUUUAUAUACAAAAAUAACAUAUGUACAAAGACAACACAAGUAUAUACAAAGGUUACCAAGAAAUUUUCUUAUAUAACACAAAAACAUGUACAACAGUUCAAGGAUUUCAAAAAGUUUGUACAAGGCUAUCCCACCCCCAACUGAAAAGCGUGCAUUGUCCCUAAUGCAUAAGAAUGUAAGCCAGAGUUUAGGGGCUCCUUAAGGCGCACUAAGCUCUAUGGGAGUCGGAAGCUGGCUGAAUGAUGGUGUGGUCACCCUCUAAUGCUGGAGCUGGGGCCGAUGAGAUCUCGGCCUGAGGACUGACCUCCACUGAUGGAGGAGGGUUCUCCAACUGCCUCGACACUGGAGCUGGGGUCUGUGAGCUGCUAGCCUCGCCCGCUGAUAGCUGAGUGGUCGAUGGAUUGGCAUGGACGGACAUGUCUGCUAGAGAAUGUUCUAUCUCCAUCUGAACAGCUGCUUCUUCCUCCUCUGCAACUGCUGAGGCAGUAACAUGCUUGCCUUUCUCUUAAGGGACCUCAUCUUCCUCGGACAAUGACUCCUCAUCAGUCUCCCCCUCGUCUGUCUCCCCACCUUCGGACUCUGCAGAGUGUCCCGAAUUGUCCCCAGAAGGGAUGUCAAUAUGUGUAGGGGAAGCUGGAUUCUGGGAAGCCCCGACAGUAUGAGGUGCAGGAGCUGUCAUCAAAGUGGAAAAAUCAAGAUCUAAUUCAGCCACGGAUGUGCCUGCUCCAUACUCUCCUUCCUUGCGCAUGAAGGAGGAUAAAUCAAACUCCAGAUUUUGCAUUUUGUGGAGCUCAGUCUUCAGUGUGACAACAUCAUCACGGAGCUUUGGCAAGUCUCCAACCUCACCCCGCUCUAUAUUUUGAAUCCGCACCUCAAGUUUCUUUAGGAGAUCCCCAUAAGAUGUUAGCUGUUGUUAUAGGGCCGUCACUAAGGACUGGAUAUGGGUCAAUGCUUGCUUGAUGAGUGUGGGGAGGUCCUUCAGAAUCCGGUCUACCUUAGCAUUUGCAUAUUGAGCUAAGAGAGUGAACAUCAAAAUGGUUGGCAGUGCGGCAGAAAGCUGUGUAAUGGUGGCCUGAGAGAUGGGAUGUGGAGUGGAAGUGGAGGCCACUGUGGCUUGAGGAGAAAUAAGAGUCUAGGGGUCUGAGAUCUAUGUAUCAGCGGGAAUCUAGAUCUGAACCUCUAGGGGAGCAACAACUACUUGUGGCACCACAUCAUUAAUACGCGUGAUAUCAAUAUCCUUCAGCGUUUUCCCCGUCUUGUCACUGUGUAGCAUUGAAGGGACUUCUACAACCUUACAGAGGGCUGUGAUCAAGCACGUGAAUGGAAGUGACUUGGCUGUCUAGUUGGCCUGGACCCCUAACUCUAGGAAAAUAAUGUCACCCACAUCAAUUUUGAUCCCGGUCAUAAUGCAUGCAAUGAGAAAAGCUUUCUCAAUGCUUAUAUCAGUCUCACUUGGAGACAGUAUCAAGCGAGAGGUGACAAAGCUGAGCCAGAAUCUACCCUCUCGUGUGAGAUCUUCCUUGAAUAUUUUAUGCAUAGGGUCAAUCCAAGCGGUGGUCCUCUUGGCUAUCACUGAGGCUAUCCAACCAUACUCACUAUCUCUGUUAGCCCAUUUGGUGAUGUACUCCACUGAGCCCGGUUCACAGUUUGAAAAGUAUAAAUCAUUUAUAGUCUCACUACCACAAAGCACCUGCUUCCCCCAAACCAAGACAGUCUCAUAGAAUACUUUGUUGCGCUUGUAAUGAGGUGUUCUAGAGGCUCCAUAAGAUGCGUAAAACUCAUGCACCCAUGUUUCAUUGAAAUCAUUAGGCAGCUCAGUGAAGCACUCCUAGUUUCUAGCUACCCUGGGGUCGUGUGGGCACUGAAUCAUUUAAGUCUCCAAGUAUCUCGGGACGUAUUUGGCGGAGCGGCUUCUGUCGAGAGUAUACUGUGAUUUUCCCUUUUGGAGAAUGAGAUGUUUGGAAGAUAUUCUAUGAUCCAUUGGUGUAAUACAAGUGUUGUUGUGUUGAGUCGAUCUAUUUUUAGGUCGAGUUUGGUUGCUCCGAUGAUUUUCACGUUGUCGUACUUGAGAAGGAGCCUUUCUCUUUUUUUUCAUGGAAAAAGGGGUAUUUUUUGAUUGCCCGAUAGAAUAGUACAUGAUCCCGCUUUGGCGGGGUCUGAUUACAUCGACCGUUUGGCCCGAUACAGUGUCUCCCUGUAGGAACCUUUGCUUGGCAUUUCCCCACCUCUUUCGAAUCGGGUGACUUCCAGGGGAAUGCCCCUCACCGCUUGAAAGUUGGCCGUAAGGGUGGAUUCGAGCAAUUCGUGGAGUUUCCCCUUUAGGCAGCAUCACAGACGUUGCCUCAUUAAAAAACUUGCCGGUAAAAACCCUUUUUUUGGGAUAAAAACUCGGUCGAAGGAAAAGAGUGCAACGGGCGUGCUUUUGGGGGUCUCGAGGCCUUCUGAUAGUGUUAGUAUUCUGGUAUCUCCGGUCGAGUGCCUACAUGAGGGUUAGUUCUUAAUCCAAAAUGAAACAAAAGGAAUGGCUGUACCUUGAAACAAGAUAUACUGGUGGCGACUUGAGAUUGGCUUAUUAUGAAUGCCUGAGGGCAGACAUGCGAUGCAGAUUUCUACUUCGUGUUGUCAAACCCGACCGGGGUUGAGACUUGAUUCGCCCGUGUGCUUAUUCGAGAGUGGGGGUAUGGGCACUGAUAACACGUCAUAUAUUGCAAACAUUUCCCUUGCCUCGUGUUGUUCCCCAUAGAUGGUUUUGACCUCGUCCUUCGUCCGGAACUUUAUCAUCUGGUGGAAGGUGGAUGGUUUUGCUCUCAUGUUGUGUAUCCACGGUCGCCCAAACAAGGCGUUAUACCUCAUAUCUCCCUCGAUAACAUGGAAUUUGGUGUCUUGGGUUGUGCCGGACACGGUAAUCAGAAGGACGAUUUCUCUUUUCGGUUUCGCUCGCCAUGUUGAACCCAUUAAGGACCCGAGUGGCGGGCACGAUCCGUUCAAGCAGUCCGAGUUGUUCUAUCACCUUCGACCUGAUAAUAUUGGUCGAGCUACCAGGAUCAACGAAUACACUUUUAUCUGAAAAUAAUUUACAAGAAAGGAGAUUACUAGGGCAUCAUUGUGGGGCUGAGACAGGGCCUCGGUAUCUUAUUCGCUGAACGUGAGGGCAUCUUCGGGGAUAUAUCCCCUAGUCCAUUUUUCCCUAGUGAUGGAUAUUUUUGUUCUCCUCAACAUGGGUUCCUACAGGGCAUCGGCGCCCCCAUGAUCAUGUGGAUGACAUGUUGCGGUUCAUUUGCCUCGUUCUUCUUGGUUGCCUCCCUGUCUCGAAAUUGAUUUUUGGCCCGAUCGCUAAGAAAUUCCUGAAGGUGCCCUUUGUUGAGUAGUCGGGCCACUUUUUCUCGUAGUUGAUGGCAAUUCUCGGUCCUGUGACCGUGUGUGUUGUGGAACUCACACACUAAGUUGUAAUUUCUCUAUGAAGGAUCCGACGGCAUUGGUUUGAGCCACUUGGCAUCCCUGAUUUUGUCGAUAGCGAAUACGAUGUCUGAUAUGUCGACGCUGAAGUUGUAUUCCGAUAAGUGGGGCGCGUUUGUCGGCACCAUGUUUCGAUCGAACCUAGUUCUAUUGACGAGCCCUUGAGGAUCAUGUCCUCGAUCUAUCCUCCGAUCGUUGCGGGGUAGGUUGCGCCUCGGGGCAUUACUUCUAUCUUCAAGGUACAGUUGUUACCUUACUUUGCUUGGCUUCGACUCUUUUGCCAGGAGUCUGUUUGGGAAUAUUGAGCCCGAAGAGGCUCCCAGCUGGUCAUCCUCGGCCCUAAUCUUUGAUUGGUAUCGGUUGUGAACGUCCGACCAGGUCACGGCCGGAUAUUCGAUUAGAUUCUACUUCAACUGUUUUGAAGCCAUCGACUUUCGUUCGUUCAAGCCUUGGGUGAAGGCCUGCACCGCCCAGUCACUGGAGACUGGUGGCAGCUCCAUCCGUUCCAUCUGGAAGCGGGAUACGAAUUAUCGCAACAUCUUAUUCUCUCUCUGCUUGAUUUUGAAAACGUCAAAUUUCAUCGUUGCUACCUUGAUGGCUAUGGCAUGUGCUUUUACGAAGGAGUCUUCUAGCAUGGCGAAUGAAUCUAUGGAGUUAGGAGCCAAGUUAUGGUACCACAUCAUGGCCCCCUUUGAAAGCGUUUCUCCGAAUUUUUUUAGCAACACGGACUCGAUCUCAUCAUUUUUUAUGUCGUUGCCUUUUAUUGCGCAGGUGUAAUCAGUGAUGUGUUCGUUAGGGUCGGAGGUGCCAUUGUACUUGGGGAGUUCCAGCAUUCUGAAUUUUUUCAGGAUAGGCUUCGGGGCUGCUUCCUCGGGGAACGUCCUCUGAAUGAACUUCUUUGAAUCCAAACCUUUGAGGAUCGGGGGCGCACCUGGGAUCUGAUCGAACCUGGAGUUGUAGGUCUCAACUUUUUUGUCAUUGGUUGCAAUCAUUCUCUCACCUGAUUCGAUCCUUUUGGUGAGGUCCUCUAUCAUUUUUACGAUGGUGGGGUCAGCCACUGACCCGUUGUUGCUUAACCAUUCGAGUGCUCACUCGGCUGGGGGAGUCGUCUCUGGCGCCGCUGUGCUGGGGGUUCUCGGAUGGCUUUGCAGCUGAGCAAUGGCCAGUUGUUGUGCCUGCAACAUUUCAAAAACAACAUGAAUACUAACUUCUUGUUCUUCCCAGGCCGAGAUUUUUUGAUCUUCCUGUUGUUCGCCGUGUCGUACGCUCCUGUCGGUGUGAGAAGUUUCAUCGACUUAUUGUGCGUCCUGUGAAUCUGCGUCCGCUAGGAUCGGUCCGGGAGCGAUAUCAGGAUUCCGUGGAGGUGCUCCAGCGACCGGGAUAGCCACGCCAGUUUCCCCAUUAUUUUUGAGGUUGUCAUUCUUAACUCAUUUUACCGAGCCGAACAUUUUGGCCUGAAAUCAAACUUGGACGAGAAAAAGUGUGAAAGCUGAUGUGUGUUUAUGUAAUGAAAACCAGCAAGAAAAUAAUCACUAUUAUUUUUAGCCCCACGGUGGGCGCCAAACUGUUUACCGUGAAAAUGGUAACAACAAUUAAAUUUGUAAUGAGAUUCUAAAAAUACGUGAUCUAUUCUCGAGCUAGUUGUUAAAGCAGUUAAUGCUAAGAAUGCUAAGUUUAACGAUGAAAUGCGGGGUAAAAAGAGGCAGUAACCAAAUCGAAGGUGGGUGCUGUUGCCCGGAUGAAGAGAUGGUUGAUGGGACCUCGGGGUCGGCAUUAGUAUCGAUCUCGAACUACCGGGGAUAGCCGGGGAUGGGAUAACAAUUAAAGAUAUAAUUAGACAAGGCUCUUUCGGCCGAUAUUAAUUAUAUAAUGAAGAACAAGUUAAGAGGCGAUGAAUACGGAGAUGGCCUGGAGCCAGUACCAAGUGAUAAACAAGAAGAAUGACCGAAGAUAAAUAGCUUUGAGCCAAGGGAAAUAAGCAAAUUAGAGAAGAGAGGAAGAGAGAAGAAAUUAUUGCCCUUGAGUAGGAUGAUUGGAGCUGCUUUACAAGAUGUUGGUGACCCCCCUUUUAUAGGAAGGGGACGCCCAAACUAAGUACAAGAUGUGUAGUAUGACAAAAGAGAAUGAGAUGUGACAGCAUGUUAGCUUUACGUCGCAUGUGGGCUGACGUCGAGUCGCUUGAGUAGAUUUGAUCGACCCCGGGUGCAUUCCUCGGGGAGAUUCUUGCGUUCGUCGGGGCUUCAGUUGAUGUUAUUCUUGGCAGGCAUCAACAGGUUUCGAGGGAAGCGACUCACCCGAGAUCCCGUGUUUCCGGGGUCACUCUUCGAAGCAUUACGUCAAGGGGAAAUCGGUCCCCGGAUUUCACCGCACACAAUUAGGAAUAAAGGAAACAACCUAAAUCUUCUUUUGAAUUUGGAUUUUUUUUUUCAUUUUUAAUUUUCGAAAGAAAGACUUAUAAAGAAGAAAGAAAAUAUUUUUUUGAUUUCGAUAUAUUUUGGGGGGAAUUUCGAAAGAAAAACUUCAAAAAAGAAAGAAACUAUUUUUGGAUUUUUGCUUUUAUGUUAAAAUUAUGAAAGAAAGACUUCUAAAGUAAAUAUUUUUGAAUCUUGAAUUUUUUUUCAAUUUUUGAAAGAAAAACUUCUAAAGAAGAAUGAAAAUAUUAUUGGAUCUUUAGAAGAAAUUAAAAGAAAAUAUUUUUGGAUUUUUUUUUUAAAAUUGGGGCUUCAAAGAAAGACUUUUCUAAAGAAGAAAGUAAAGGAAAAUAUUUUUGGAUUUUUGAAAAUUAGGGGCCGGACUGAUGAGGUUUGCCUACGUAUCUCACAUCAGGUGAGAAUCAGACCUGCGUAGUUCGGCAUGUUUUGAGGGAACAAAGGAAACAUGACUUUUUGAAAAUAUUGGCUUAUUUUCUUUCUCUUUUUUUUUCUUCUAAAUUUUGGCAUAGUUUCGAAUUUUUUCAAAAACCUACCUCUCACUCUUGUUUUUUUUUUCCUGUUUUUUCUUUUUUUCAUUUCUUUCCCUAUUCUAGAAACCAGUCAAUAUACAAACCAAAACAAACAAAUAAGCAAGUAGCACGUAAGAUGCAUUAGGAUGGUCUUUCAAUUUGGAUACACCUGUCCUAGACGGACCCAACCCCUGUGUUGAGUCCCCAAAGUCAAAUGCACAUGAUGCAAACAAACGUACCUAAUAGGGAUCCAGUAUGAGGUUAUGUCAUUCUAGGUUGAAUCAUGUGGUAUAUUGUUCUAGACCUGGCUUACCCGCGGACAACUCGAGCCGGGGAGGGGGGCAACGUACCGGGAACCAAAAUGCCAUCUGACUUUGUAACUGAUCCGAUCCUCGUUCUAAAUUAGGGUAUGACACUAACGGAAAAGAAGUCACGCCAGCGUGCACUUUCUAGUAGAUUUAGAAGGCUCAGAGAAAAGAAGGGUUUCGUAACAAUUUAUAUACAGUUCAAACAAUAUCAAAGCGGUAAAAGCGGCAUUUAGCACACUAGGAUCAAACACGUAAAAAGUCAGAUGAUAAACAAAGACAACUAUAACAAUUAUUCUAAACUCGAAUUCUGAACCCUAAACCAGAGAUUCUAGGUUCGAUCCCCAGCAGAGUCGCCAGAGCUGUCACACCUCCUUUUUUCCGAGGGGGGCAUGGAGUUUUUCCAAUUUAAGUGACAUUAUUCGAAAUGAGAUUAUUUAUUUAAUUUCAGUGUUGCCACUUGGAAUAAUAUGGUGUUCCAAGUCACCGAUUUAUUUUAAAUCCUAAAUCGAGGAAAUUAACUCUUAUUUAUGGUCCGGGAACACAAAAGACCGGGUAAGGAAUUCUAUUAACUCGGGAGAACAUUCCCGGGUUCGUGGUUUUAGCACAGACGCUCAACUAUUAAUAAUUGGCCUAAUUAUCAGAUUAAUACAAAUUUUAAACCUAUUGUGCAUUUUAACCUUUUAAACUACUUUUAAUUAUUUAUGAAAUUUGUUUGAACAAGUCGCGAUGUCGUGCACUCGUUUGUUUUGUACACGUUGUGAAUCGCCCCAUGAGAAUCGUAUUCGCGAUCUACAAUAUGUUUAUUUUAUUAUUAUUCAAAGUUAUGGUCAGGUCACAUGAAAUGCGCACUCGAAUUGGAGAUUAUGUAUCACGACUAUGCCAAGGGAGACGUACCCAUAGCCGUGAUGAAUUAUUAUUAAUCGCGCCUAAAUCAACUAGCGCAUUUGAAUUAUUUUCCUAACCUUUGAGAUUAUUGUAAGGCCUUGAGUUAUGAAUAUGGAGCUGAUGUGGAAGUCAAGAGAUAUUUUAGCUAUUUAGGCAUAUACAAGUUAUCCACACUUAGAGAUGUUUACAACUUACUACUCUAUUUUUAAAUUUAGGAGACAUUUAUCUAUGAAUGGAGAAUGGGCUAAUUAUUAAUCUAGUAAUUAAAUUGUUGGGCUUGGAAAAUUAAUCUCAUUCAGCCCAUGUCAUUUUUAAAAUUAAUUGCCUUGAGCCCAAACAAAAUGUCAGCCUAAAAUUAAAAUCCAGAAUUCCCAUGACCCAUUAACAUCCAUCUUAGAAAUUCUAUCUCUAAAUCAAUGACAGAAGGAAACAACACAAACGACACAUAAUGAUCUUUGGGAUUAAACCAAUCAACUCAUAAGGCAUGUUACGAGAUUACCAAAAACCAACAAUAGCAACAGAUUUGAAAGCAUAACGUAAAUUAAUAAAUAAAGAGAUGAAUUAAAAUUGAACCUUUGUAUUGAAUUUUAGCUUUUGAAGUAAACAAGAUAUAGAUAGGACCUCCAUGAACGCAGACCUCAGCGGACGAGACACAAACCUCGACGGCCUCGUCGGACUUUCUCAACUCAAAAAAGCAUCGGCAGUGAGUGAAGAUGGAAGUUGUUGCAUUUUGGGUGGAGAAAUGGAGAUGUAUUCAUGGCUAAAACUCUUUGGCUCAAGGUUGAAGAAGGAGGUAGAUGUUUCUUUCCCAGAUCUGCUUCGUUCCCUCCCUUGUUCCCCUCUCUAUAUCUUCAAAUAUAUCCGUCCUCUCUCUCUUAUAUCUCUGUAGGUGUCUCUCACUCUGUUUCUGCAUUUUUUGUUUCUGGUUUGAGCAGCAAGGGGGUAAGAGGCGGAUGAUUGCUCAGAAGGGUAGUGGGGUGAGGCUCUAGCGUUCUUGGGGUGUAGCUGGUUUAAUUUGAAGAGAUGCCAUUCUUUUUUAGAGUUGUAGGAAUUAGGUUCUCUCCAUUGAUAUGGCUGAAGGUUUUGAAGAAGGGUGGCUGCUUGUUAGAGAUGAAAAAUCAGAGCGAAGGGUGUUGGGUUGUGGCUAUUCCUUUUCUUUCUCUUUUUGAUGCACUCUUUUUGUUCUCCUCCUCUCUGCUUUCUAUAUGUGAG
rnacentral:lncRNA from 1 species